ACAGCUGCACCAAGUUAGCUACAAAUUAGCUACUUGCUAAGCUACAUGGCUAAACAGAGAGCGCUUACCUGUGCAAUCCCUGCUCCCAUCUGUCCCCCUCCGAUGAUCGUGACAUUUUUGAUAACAACAUUCCUGACGGCCGAGGAGGAAAAGCCUCUGCAGACCUGGUGAGUGAAGAACGCCAUGCUGCUGCUGCUGCGGGACUUGAGGACUUACGCGGACCCGCUGGAAGGAGGAGGAAGGUCGGUGUUCACGUGAUCACACAGACACUGCCACGACCUUUCACACAGAUCUGUCAGAAACACAGUCAUGUCUCUUUCCACCUGCCGUAACUCCUUAAAGACCCCAAAAGGGCAGUGGUACAGCAGUGGGAAGA